CCUACGGGGGGCUGCAGUAGGGAAUAUUGCGCAAUGGACGGAAGUCUGACGCAGCGACGCCGCGUGAGCGAUGAAGGUCUUCGGAUCGUAAAGCUCUGUCCUUGGGGAAGAAGGCGAAAGCUUGACGGUACCCAAGAAGAAAGCCCCGGCUAACUACGUGCCAGCAGCCGCGGUAAUACGUAGGGGGCGAGCGUUGUCCGGAAUUACUGGGCGUAAAGGGUGCGUAGGCGGCCCUUUAAGUCGGAUGUGAAAGCCCGCGGCUUAACCGCGGAAUGGCAUUCGAAACUGGAGGGCUUGAGUGUCGGAGAGGGUAGUGGAAUUCCCAGUGUAGCGGUGAAAUGCGUAGAUAUUGGGAGGAACACCAGUGGCGAAGGCGACUACCUGGACGAUAACUGACGCUGAGGCACGAAAGCUAGGGGAGCAAACAGGAUUAGAUACCCCAGUAGUC
rnacentral:rRNA from 1 species